rnacentral:rRNA from 1 species
GUGGGGAAUAUUGGACAAUGGGGGGAACCCUGAUCCAGCCAUGCCGCGUGUGUGAAGAAGGCCUUUUGGUUGUAAAGCACUUUAAGCGAGGAGGAGGCUACCGAGAUUAAUACUCUUGGAUAGUGGACGUUACUCGCAGAAUAAGCACCGGCUAACUCUGUGCCAGCAGCCGCGGUAAUACAGAGGGUGCAAGCGUUAAUCGGAUUUACUGGGCGUAAAGCGAGCGUAGGUGGUCAAUUAAGUAAAAUGUGAAAUCCCCGAGCUUAACUUGGGAAUUGCAUUCGAUACUGGUUGGCUAGAGUAUGGGAGAGGAUGGUAGAAUUCCAGGUGUAGCGGUGAAAUGCGAAGAGAUCUGGAGGAAUACCGAUGGCGAAGGCAGCCAUCUGGCCUAAUACUGACACUGAGGUGCGAAAGCAUGGGGAGCAAACAGGAUUAGAAACCCCAGUAGUCC